rnacentral:lncRNA from 1 species
UCCAAUCAAAAAUAAACAAUAUAAAAUAGAGCAUCCAAACAAUUGUAUUUAAAUUAACGACAGAACUAAAACUUAACUAAAACAUUAUAAGAGUUUCCAAAAUCCGAUUAAAAACUCAGCGAAACAGAAAAGGCAGAGAGUACUAUCAAGACAUCUCGAUAAAAUAUAAAGAAAAGGGAAAAUGGACUGAAAUCAACGGUAGGAUUUCUGGAACCUGGCGCGAGCACCGCGACCACCGAACUUCUUGGGCUCGCAGCGGCGAGGAUCAGCAACGAGGAGUGUGCGGUCGUACCUGACGAGGAUGUCUUUGAUCUCCUUCUUCGACUGCUCAUCCACGUACUUCUGGUAAUAGGCGACGAGAGCCUUGGCGAUGCUUUGACGGAUGGCAUAGAUCUGGGAGGUAUGACCACCGCCCUUGACUCGGAUGCGCAUGUCAACGCCGGCGAAACGGUGGCGGCCGAGGAGGAGGAUGGGUUCGAAAGCCUUGAAGCGGAGGAUCUCCGGCUCGACAAGCUCAAUAGGACAUCCAUUGAUCUUGAUAAGGCCGCGGCCGCGCUUGCAGUACGUGACUGCCACCGCCGUCUUCUUCCGGCCAAAGCACUGGACCUGCUCUAAUGCUGGUGGUGUCUGCGCCAUCUUCUCAAUUAGGGUUUGGGGGUUUCACUCAAUGCGCCUCACUCAGGAAACCUAUCUGU